GCCCCUUUGCUCCGGUCUCGACCACGGGUAUUCUUGGGUUGAUAAUACAGAUGUGGAUGUUAUUGCUUGAGAAUACGCGUAGUCGAGUGGAGGCUUCAUCAU
rnacentral:pre_miRNA from 11 species